rnacentral:rRNA from 1 species
GACGAACGCUGGCGGCGUGCUUAACACAUGCAAGUCGAACGGUGAAGCGCCUUCCUUUUUGGUGGGUGUGGAUGAGUGGCGAACGGGUGAGUAACACGUGAGUAACCUGCCCCCUUCUUCUGGAUAACCGCAUGAAAGUGUGGCUAAUACGGGAUAUUCUGGGUCUGUCGCAUGAUGGGUCUGGGAAAGAUAUUGUUUCGGUGGGGGAUGGGCUCGCGGCCUAUCAGCUUGUUGGUGGGGUGAUGGCCUACCAAGGCGGUGACGGGUAGCCGGCCUGAGAGGGUGGACGGUCACACUGGGACUGAGACACGGCCCAGACUCCUACGGGAGGCAGCAGUGGGGAAUAUUGCACAAUGGGCGCAAGCCUGAUGCAGCGACGCCGCGUGAGGGAUGGAGGCCUGCGGGUUGUGAACCUCUUUCACCAGUGAAGCAGGCCUGCCUCGUUUGUGGGUGGGUUGACGGUAGCUGGAUAAGAAGCGCCGGCUAACUACGUG